GUGCUUGCUUUAGCAGCACAUAUACUAAAAUUGGAAUGAUAUAGACAUUAGCAUGGCCCCUGCACAAGGAUGACAUACAGAUUAGUGAAACGUUUCAUACUUUU
ensembl:snRNA U6 U6 spliceosomal RNA